UGGCAACACAAAGAUCACUUUGUAUUCAUCUUGAAAGGAAAAGGAACUCCAUUUACAAAAAAAAAAAAAAAUCUUACACAUGAGAGAAACAUGUGUACCUUGCAACAUCACUUCAAAACCAGUAACUAAUAGGAAAGAAAAAUGCUGGAAAAAACAUCGAAGGCAUAGAAGGUCCAGCAGCAAACCAUACAGCUAACAACAACCCCAAAUGAAUCAAAUAAAAACUUCAGACCCCAAAACCAAAUAGCUGAAACUAGAUGCCCACGGCUAGUACACAAAGAAGAAAACUCUCUAUUUUUUAGAGAAUAUUUUCUAAAUUUGUGAAGAGUUAGAGAAAAAUGAGAGGUGUAAGAUUU
rnacentral:lncRNA from 1 species